AUUGAACGCUGGCGGCAGGCCUAACACAUGCAAGUCGAACGGUAACAGGAAGAAGCUUGCUUCUUUGCUGACGAGUGGCGGACGGGUGAGUAAUGUCUGGGAAACUGCCUGAUGGAGGGGGAUAACUACUGGAAACGGUAGCUAAUACCGCAUAACGUCGCAAGACCAAAGAGGGGGACCUUCGGGCCUCUUGCCAUCGGAUGUGCCCAGAUCGGAUUAGCUAGUAGGUGGGGUAACGGCUCACCUAGGCGACGAUCCCUAGCUGGUCUGAGAGGAUGACCAGCCACACUGGAACUGAGACACGGUCCAGACUCCUACGGGAGGCAGCAGUGGGGAAUAUUGCACAAUGGGCGAAAGCCUGAUGCAGCAAUGCCGCGUGUAUGAAGAAGGCCUUCGGGUUGUAAAGUACUUUCAGCGGGGAGGAAGAGAGUAAAGUUAAUACCUUCGCUCAUUGACGGUACCCAAAGAAGAAGCCACGGCUAACUACGUG
rnacentral:rRNA from 1 species